rnacentral:rRNA from 1 species
GUGGGGAAUAUUGGACAAUGGGCGAAAGCCUGAUCCAGCAAUGCCGCGUGAGUGAUGAAGGCCUUAGGGUCGUAAAGCUCUUUUACCCGGGAUGAUAAUGACAGUACCGGGAGAAUAAGCCCCGGCUAACUCCGUGCCAGCAGCCGCGGUAAUACGGAGGGGGCUAGCGUUGUUCGGAAUUACUGGGCGUAAAGCGCACGUAGGCGGUUACUCAAGUCAGAGGUGAAAGCCCGGGGCUCAACCCCGGAACUGCCUUUGAAACUAGGUGACUGGAAUCUUGGAGAGGCGAGUGGAAUUCCGAGUGUAGAGGUGAAAUUCGUAGAUAUUCGGAAGAACACCAGUGGCGAAGGCGACUCGCUGGACAAGUAUUGACGCUGAGGUGCGAAAGCGUGGGGAGCAAACAGGA